UUAUUUCAGCAUAGAUAAUGAACUUGAAUAUGAGAACUUCUACGCAGAUUUUGGACCACUCAAUCUGGCAAUGGUUUACAGAUAUUGUUGCAAGAUCAAUAAGAAAUUAAAGUCCAUUACAAUGUUAAGGAAGAAAAUUGUUCAUUUUACUGGCUCUGAUCAGAGAAAACAAGCAAAUGCUGCCUUCCUUGUUGGAUGCUACAUGGUAAGUAUUUGUUUUCCUAAUGUAUUCAUAAAAAUGCACACAACAGUGGUUCUUUACAUUUGCAGUUGGAAUUUUGAAAUCAAGAUAAUGUCUUGAUUUCUCUUCAGAAAGAACGUGUUUUGCUUUUAAAAAAUUGACCAAUUCA
rnacentral:ncRNA from 2 species